rnacentral:tRNA from 1 species
GGAGAGGUGGCCGAGCGGCUGAAGGCGCUUCCCUGCUAAGGAAGUAACAUCGUAAGGUGUUCGUGGGUUCGAAUCCCACCCUCUCCG